rnacentral:rRNA from 1 species
AUUGGACGCUGGCGGAAUGCUUUAUACAUGCAAGUCGAACGGCAGCACGGACUUCGGUCUGGUGGCGAGUGGCGAACGGGUGAGUAAUGUAUCGGAACGUGCCCAGUCGUGGGGGAAACGUAGUGAAAAUUACGCUAAUACCGCAUACGAUCUAUGGAUGAAAGCGGGGGAUCGCAAGACCUCGCGCGAUUGGAGCGGCCGAUAUCAGAUUAGGUAGAUGGUGGGGUAAAGGCCCACCAAGCCAACGAUCUGUAGCUGGUCUGAGAGGACGACCAGCCACACUGGAACUGAGACACGGUCCAGACUCCUACGGGAGGCAGCAGUGGGGAAUUUUGGACAAUGGGCGAAAGCCUGAUCCAGCCAUUCCGCGUGCAGGAUGAAGGCCCUCGGGUUGUAAACUGCUUUUGUACAGAACGAAAAGGUUUCUACUAAUACUAGGAGCUCAUGACGGUACUGUAAGAAUAAGCACCGGCUAACUACGUGCCAGCCGCCGCAGUAA